ACAUCCAGAGAAUUUAGCAGAGAUGCUUUAGUGCCUUCGGGAACUCUGAGACAGGUGCUGCAUGGCUGUCGUCAGCUCGUGUUGUGAAAUGUCGGGUUAAGUCCCGCAACGAGCGCAACCCUUAUCCUUUGUUGCCAGCACGUAAUGGUGGGAACUCAAAGGAGACUGCCGGUGAUAAACCGGAGGAAGGUGGGGAUGACGUCAAGUCAUCAUGGCCCUUACGAGUAGGGCUACACACGUGCUACAAUGGCGCAUACAAAGAGAAGCGACCUCGCGAGAGCAAGCGGACCUCAUAAAGUGCGUCGUAGUCCGGAUUGGAGUCUGCAACUCGACUCCAUGAAGUCGGAAUCGCUAGUAAUCGUAAAUCAGAAUGUUACGGUGAAUACGUUCCCGGGCCUUGUACACACCGCCCGUCACACCAUGGGAGUGGGUUGCAAAAGAAGUAGAUAGCUUAACCUUCGGGAGGGCGUUUACCACUUUGUGAUUCAUGACUGGGGUGAAGUCGUAACAAGGUAGGCGUAGUGCU
rnacentral:rRNA from 1 species